UACGUAGGGGGCAAGCGUUGUCCGGAUUUAUUGGGCGUAAAGAGCGUGUAGGCGGCUAUACAGGUCCGUUGUGAAAACUCGAGGCUCAACCUCGAGACGCCGAUGGAAACCGUAUGGCUAGAGUCCGGAAGAGGAGAGCGGAAUUCCUGGUGUAGCGGUGAAAUGCGCAGAUAUCAGGAGGAACACCAGCGGCGAAGGCGGCGCUCUGGGCCGGUACUGACACUGAGGAGCGAAAGCGUGGGGAUCAAACAGG
rnacentral:rRNA from 1 species